rnacentral:rRNA from 1 species
UACGUAGGGUGCAAGCGUUGUCCGGAAUUAUUGGGCGUAAAGAGCUCGUAGGCGGUUUGUCGCGUCUGCUGUGAAAACUCGGGGCUUAACUCCGGGCCUGCAGUGGGUACGGGCAGACUAGAGUGCGGUAGGGGAGACUGGAAUUCCUGGUGUAGCGGUGAAAUGCGCAGAUAUCAGGAGGAACACCGGUGGCGAAGGCGGGUCUCUGGGCCGAUACUGACGCUGAGGCGCGAAAGCGUGGGGAGCAAACAGG